rnacentral:rRNA from 1 species
AGUGAACGCUGGCGGUAGGCCUAACACAUGCAAGUCGAACGGCAGCACAGUAAGAGCUUGCUCUUACGGGUGGCGAGUGGCGGACGGGUGAGGAAUACAUCGGAAUCUACUUUUUCGUGGGGGAUAACGUAGGGAAACUUACGCUAAUACCGCAUACGACCUACGGGUGAAAGCAGGGGAUCUUCGGACCUUGCGCGAUUGUAUGAGCCGAUGUCGGAUUAGCUAGUUGACAGGGUAAAGGCUCACCAAGGCAACGAUGCGUAGCCGGUCUGAGAGGAUGAUCAGCCACACUGGAACUGAGACACGGUCCAGACUCCUACGGGAGGCAGCAGUGGGGAAUAUUGCGCAAUGGGCGCAAGCCUGACGCAGCAAUACCGCGUGAGUGAAGAAGGUCUUCGGGUCGUAAAGCCCUUUUGUUGGGAAAGAACAGCAGCAGGAGUAUACCCGGCUGUCCUGACGGUACCUAAAGAAUAAGCACCGGCUAACUUCGUG